UGGGCGGUCGCCGCCGGCGACGUCGCGAGAAGUCCACUGAACCUUAUCAUUUAGAGGAAGGAGAAGUCGUAACAAGGUUUCCGUAGGUGAACCUGCGGAAGGAUCAUUGUCGAAACCUGCCCAGCAGAACGACCCGCGAACCCGUAUCCACACCGCGGCGGGGUGCCCCGUGCCCCCGUCCGCAGGCCCCGGGGGGACAAGCGCCUCCCUCGGCCGCCACCAACGAACCCCGGCGCGGCACGCGCCAAGGAACACGAAUUCGGAUGCCGCGCUCCCGCCGCCCCGGGAACGGGGACCGCGCGGGACGCGUCGUCUCCUUGUACAACCAAAACGACUCUCGGCAACGGAUAUCUCGGCUCUCGCAUCGAUGAAGAACGUAGCGAAAUGCGAUACUUGGUGUGAAUUGCAGAAUCCCGUGAACCAUCGAGUCUUUGAACGCAAGUUGCGCCCGAAGCCCUCGGGCCGAGGGCACGCCUGCCUGGGUGUCACGCACCUUCGCCCCCCGGGACCACGACGUGGCUCGGAGCGGGGCGGACAAUGGUCUCCCGUGGGCUUCCCCGCACGCGGUUGGCCGAAACACGGGUCCCCGGCGACGAGCGCCGCGGCAUUCGGUGGUUUGAAGGACCCUCUGUGCUGCCGCGCGCCCCGUCCCGGCGCGGGAUCCCAUCGACCCCCUGAAAUUACCGACGCGACCCCAGGUCAGGCGGGAAUACCCGCUGA
rnacentral:rRNA from 1 species